rnacentral:rRNA from 1 species
AUGGCUUCUCCUCAGCUCGACUCUACCCUAGUCCUCUGCCUCCUCUUCGUGGUCUCUUGCCUUGCCUUUGUCGUUAGAGCCUUCAGAACUAGCGGCAAGGAUGGCGCCGCUCAUGCAGCACCGCCUUCGCCUCCGGCGCUGCCCAUCAUCGGUAACCUGCACCAGCUCGGCACUGGCCACCUCCACCGGAGGCUGCAGGCGCUGGCCAGGAGCUACGGCCCGCUCUUCCUCCUCCGCCUCGGCUCGGUGCCCACCCUCGUGGUCUCCUCGGCCUCCCUGGCCGACGCCGUGCUCAGGACCCAGGACCACGUCUUCUGCAGUCGGCCGCAGCAGCACACGGCCUGCGGCACGCUCUACCGCUGCAGGGACAUCGCCUUCAGCCCCUACGGCGAGCGGUGGCGUCAAGCCCGCUGCAUCGCCUUCGUGCAACUACUCAGCGCCAAGCGUGUGGACUCCUUCCGCGCGCUCCGGCAGGAGGAGAUCGCGCGCUUCGUGGGGCGCAUCCACGCGGUGAGUGGCGCCCAGGAGAACGGCGGCGAGCGCCGGGGAGUCAACGUGACCGAGCUCAUGCUCAGCUUAACCAACACCGUCAUCUCGAGGGCGGCGUUCGGGAACAAGCUCGGAGGAGUGGAACCAGGGAUGCUCCGGGACAUGAUGGGAGAGAUCAGCAAUCUGCUCGGUACGAUCGCCGUGAGCGACGUGUUUCCGCGACUCCGUUGGGUGGACUGGGCGACGGGGCUGGACGCCAGGGUGAAGAGGUCGGCGGCUAAGCUCGACGACAUUCUCGAGAAGGCGGUCCAGGAGCACGAGAAAAGCAAAGGAGACGACGGCGGCGAGGCUCGUGACCUCCUGGACGACUUGCUCUCUGUCGUCAAGGAUGGUGAUCAGGGGUCCAAGCUGGACCGGACUGAUGUCAAGGCAAUCAUCUCGGACAUGUUCCUGGCAGGAACAGACACGACAUCUAAGACGAUAGAAUGGACCAUGGCCGAGCUUGUCAAGAACCCAAGAGAAAUGGAGAAGGUGCAGCAAGAGGUGAGACGGGUUGUCGGUGCACGAGCAGGAGUCAUGGAGGAGGAUGUGGAGAAGAUGAGCCUCCUAAAGGCGGCCAUGAAAGAAGCACUGCGGCUGCACGCGACGGUGCCGCUCCUCGUCCCGCACGAGUCGAUCAAGGACACCUGGCUCCACGGCUACUACAUCCCGGCAAAGACUCGGGUCAUCGUCAACGCAUGGGCGAUUGGGAGAGACGGCAAGACAUGGGAGCACGCCGAGGAGUUUCGGCCGGAGAGGUUCAUGCGCGAGAACAUCGACUAUGGCGGUAGGGACACCCGGUUCAUACCUUUCGGUGCCGGAAGGAGGGGAUGCCCCGGCGUUGCCUUCGCGACUCGCCUGGCCGAGCUCACGCUAGCAAACAUGAUGUACCAUUUCGACUGGGAGCUGCCGCACGGGCAGGACCCUGAGUCGUUUGAGGUCAUCGAGUCCAACGGGAUAUCUCCUGGCCUUAAGUCUGCCUUGAUCCUUACCCCGAAACCACUGCAAUAUGUGUUGGAAUAG